GCCGGGGUGGCGAAAUUGGUAGACGCGUUCGACUUAAGAUCGAAUGUCCGAAAGGAUCUGUGGGUUCGAUUCCCACCCCCGGCA
rfam:Candidatus Kaiserbacteria bacterium RIFCSPLOWO2_12_FTLL_53_8 rifcsplowo2_12_scaffold_33933, whole genome shotgun sequence.